GCCGCGGUAGCUCAGUUGGUAGAGCGCGGGACUGAAAAUCCCGGCGUCGGCGGUUCGAUUCCGCCCUGCGGCACCA
rnacentral:tRNA from 1 species